rnacentral:misc_RNA from 1 species
UUAUAGGAUUGAGAGAGAUGCCUUUAGAUGUGAGGAGGAUCUGGAUCAGAACGAGGCGCGUCGCCUCAAAAGCGACGGCGGCGAGCUGGAGGCAAACGCCGAAGGUGUUGAAGAGAGCUUCGCCGUAGGCGGCGAUGGCGACUCCGAAGGAGAUGGCGAGCAUGUUGAGCAUGGAGGCGGAUUUGAAGGUUUCUUUCUUGAAGAGGACGCCGAUGGAGUAGACGGCGACGGGCAUGAGGGCUUUGAGCAUCUGGAUGAAGGAGACGGAGAGGUAGAUGUACGCGGAGUUGGAGAA